GUCUCAGAAACACAGAAGGACCCCUGGGCAGCCAUGGUGGCCUCUUGGGCAUAGCUGACGCCUGGAGAAUAAGGAAGCUCCUGGGGAACCCAGUCGCCACUUCAGGAGCCCGCGUGACCCACGGGAGAGGGGACUCAGCUGGGGAAGAGACAUUCUCUCCCUUGUCGGCUUUGAUGAAGCAAGUGGUCAUGAUGUAAGCCGUCCUACGGAGAGACCCCCACGGCAAGGACCUGAGGACCGCCUCCAGCCCGCAGCCAGGGAGAAACUGAGGCCUCAGCCUUCAAGGAAGAGAGCACUGCCCACAAGCAGGGACGGGGAGCUCCCUACCACACACCCACAGCCAAUUGCAGCUUUGAAGCACUCUGACGGACUGUUGUAAGAGGCCCUGUCUGCGGAGACCCAGGGAGGUGGCCUCUGUGUGAUGAGCAAAGGAGCUGGCCCCACCGCCCCACUCCUCCCAGCUGAGCAGCCGUUCAGAGCGUUCUUCUGAGAUGGUCGUCCAGGACCUUCGCCCUCUCAGCCAGCUCGCUCUUGAUCCGCUCGUCCUGAGAGGUUCUAGAAGGAGAUGGUGUCCGAACCCAAACAGCGUGUCUGAGCUCCCGACAACGUAAGCAGAUUCCACUGGGUUAAACAGCGUCACUUUGUUUGGUCGGUGGGGAGGGGCUGCAUCCUGAAAGUCCCCUGGUCUGAGCCACACUCCUCUCUUGCCUGGACUGUUGCAGUAGCCACCUCCAGCUUUGCCGUGUUGCAGCCUGUCCGCCACACAGCAGCCUGCCACAUCCUGGUAUAACACAGAUCCUGCACAAAACCUUUUGAUGGUGAAUGGCCUGGAGGGCAUUUUCCUGCCCUCCAGGGCCCUACAUGCUCUGGGGACCUCUUCCUCCUCACCUCCGAGCCCCUUCUCCCUUUUCUCAGGCCCACCUCACUCCAGCGACACUGGCCUCCUCCUUGUUCCUUGUUUGCACCAAGCUCCAUCCAGCCUCAGGGCCUUUGCACCUGCUGUGCCUGCUCUCUGGAAUGCUCUCCACGGUUCUCCACAGGAUUGACUCCUUUAUUCAGGUCUUGGGUUGCUGUCACCCUUCACGGAGAGUGUCCCUGGACCCAUUGUCUCUAAACUGGCCCCACACACCUCUGUCAUCCCCUGUCUCUCAUCCUGCUUGGUUUUCCUUCACAGAACUUUCCACAGCAUGACGAUAUCCUAUCUUUCCAUUGUUUCUGGUUUUCCCUCUCCCUGUGAACGACUGGGAUUGCCAUGACCCCCAAGUUGGAGCAGGUCUCAAAGAGGGAGGCUGGGCUUGUGG
rnacentral:lncRNA from 1 species